AGAUGUGGUGAGCAGCCGAUGGAGAGAGUAGAAAUGCUCCUGGCAUCGCACCACUUUCUGU
ensembl:miRNA